GCUGGCUUUGGCAGCAUAUGCUAAAACCAGAACAGUACAGAGAUUAGCAUGGCCCCUGUGUGGGUAUGACAUGCAAAUUCACAAAGCAUUCCAUAUUUUA
ensembl:snRNA U6 U6 spliceosomal RNA